UACGUAGGGUGCAAGCGUUGUCCGGAAUUAUUGGGCGUAAAGAGCUCGUAGGCGGUCUGUCACGUCGGCUGUGAAAAUCCCCGAGGCUCAACCUCGGGUCUGCAGUCGAUACGGGCAAACUAGAGUAUUGCAGGGGGAGACUGGAAUUCCUGGUGUAGCGGUGAAAAUGCGCAGAUAUCAGGAGGAACACCGGUGGCGAAAGGCGGGGUCUCUGGGCAAAUAACUGACGUGAGGGAGCGAAAAGCGUGGGGGGAGCGAAACAGGGAAUUAGAUUACCCCCCAGAAGUCCCAGAC
rnacentral:rRNA from 1 species